AUGAAGGUGCAUUGUAAAGUGUGCUGGAGGUAUCAGAAGUGCGAAUGCUGACAUGAGUAACGACAAUGCGGGUGAAAAACCCGCACGCCGGAAGACCAAGGGUUCCUGCGCAACGCUAAUCGGCGCAGGGUGAGUCGGCCCCUAAGGCGAGACCGAAAGGUGUAGUCGAUGGGAAACGGAUUAAUAUUUCCGUACCUUGGAUAGCUGCGAUGGAGAGACGGAGAAGGCUAGGCCUACCGGGCGUUGGUUGUCCCGGGGAAAGACCGUAGGC
rnacentral:rRNA from 12 species